rnacentral:rRNA from 1 species
CACCUCCAGCAUAACAAUUAUUGGAGGCACUGCCUGCCCAGUGACAUCCGUUAAACGGCCGCGGUAUUCUGACCGUGCAAAAGGUAGCAUAAUCAUUUGUUCUUUAAAUAAGGACUUGUAUGAAUGGCCACACGAGGGUUUUACUGUCUCUUACUUCCAAUCAGUGAAAUUGACCUUCCCGUGAAGAGGCGGGAAUUCACAAAUAAGACGAGAAGACCCUAUGGAGCUUUAAUUAACUAGUUCAUAAAUAAGCACUAUAUUUCCAAGGAAAGUAAACCAACUUUUACUGAACUAGCAAUUUAGGUUGGGUGACCUCGGAAUACAAAACAACUCCCGAGUGAUAUAGUCUAGACUAACAAGUCGAAACCCAUUAUCAUUUAGUGAUCCAAUUUCUUUUGAUCAACGGAACAAGUUACCCUAGGGAUAACAGCGCAAUCCUAUUUGAGAGUCCAUAUCGACAAUAGGGUUUACGACCUCGAUGUUGGAUCAGGACACCCCAAUGGUGCAGCCGCUAUUAACGGUUCGUUUGUUCAACGAUUAAAGUCCU